GAUGAACGCUGGCGGCGUGCCUAAUACAUGCAAGUCGAGCGAACAGAUGAGGAGCUUGCUCCUCUGACGUUAGCGGCGGACGGGUGAGUAACACGUGGAUAACCUACCUAUAAGGCUGGGAUAACUUCGGGAAACCGGAGCUAAUACCGGAUAAUAUAUUGAACCGCAUGGUUCAAUAGUGAAAGACGGUUUUGCUGUCACUUAUAGAUGGAUCCGCGCCGCAUUAGCUAGUUGGUAAGGUAACGGCUUACCAAGGCAACGAUGCGUAGCCGACCUGAGAGGGUGAUCGGCCACAAUGGAACUGAGACACGGUCCAGACUCCUACGGGAGGCAGCAGUAGGGAAUCUUCCGCAAUGGGCGAAAGCCUGACGGAGCAACGCCGCGUGAGUGAUGAAGGUCUUCGGAUCGUAAAACUCUGUUAUUAGGGAAGAACAAAUGUGUAAGUAACUAUGCACGUCUUGACGGUACCUAAUCAGAAAGCCACGGCUAACUACGUG
rnacentral:rRNA from 1 species